AUUGAACGCUGGCGGCAGGCCUAACACAUGCAAGUCGAGCGAGGGGCGGACGGGUGAGUAAUGUAUGGGGCUGCGCCCGAUAGGGGGGGAUAUCCUCUGGAAACGGUGGCUAAUACCGCAUACUCUCGGAUGCACCUAUAUGGGUUUAUCUAGUAGGUGGGGGAAAGGCCACCUAGGCCACGACCUCUAGCUGGUCUGAGAGGAUGAUCAGCCACACUGGGACUGAGACACGGCCCAGACUCCUACGGGAGGCAGCAGUGGGGAAUAUUGCACAAUGGGCGCAAGCCUGAUGCAGCCAUGCCGCGUGUAUGAAGAAGGCCUUAGGGUUGUAAAGUACUUUCAGCGGGGAGGCGUUACCCGCAGAAGAAGCACCGGCUAACUCCGUGCCAGCAGCCGCGGUAAUUC
rnacentral:rRNA from 1 species